AUGACUCCAGAAGCAAGGCCACUAAAUACAUGGGUGGAAAAAGUAUCGGACUUGACUGAUUCUAAGAGUUGGACGUGGCGGCGGGAAUUGAUUCGAGAAACUUUUGUUCCCUCAGAUGCAACAACUAUACUUAAUAUUCCUAUUCGGCAGGGAGGGGGAUCUGAUUUUCCUGCAUGGGUGUUUGAUAGAUCAGGCAACUACACUGUUAAGACGGCGUACCGAGCUCUUGUGACUCAGAAAGAGCGACUAGCUCUAGAGGAAGGGACGGCUACCGGGACCUAAGAGGAUAACAAGCAGUUGUGGAAAGCCCUAUGGAAACUUAAUGUUAUUCCAAAAGUAAGAGUAUUCGGUGGAGAGUACUUCGUGGUAUUCUUCCGGAUGAAUACACGCUCAAAAACCGUCAUAUUGCAGACGCUAGUAGCUUCAAAGUUUGCUUGGCCGGGGAGGAGGACAUGCACCAUGCUCUUAUAUCCUGCUCGCAUGCAAGACCUUUUUGGGAGGAGGCAUGGGCAUGGUUUGAGCUCCGGCUGCCAAUUCUCUCGCGGGAGACAUGGGCACGGGAUAUCACACGUAGCCCACUUUUUUCGGAUGAUGAUCGUGCAAAGAUUACAACCAUUAUGUGGUCUAUUUGGCACUCUAGGAAUCCGAUCAAGCAUGGAGAGGUAG
rnacentral:rRNA from 1 species